UACGGGGGGAGCAAGCGUUGUUCGGAUUUACUGGGCGUAAAGGGCGCGUAGGCGGCCAGCACAAGUCAGUUGUGAAAUCUCCGAGCUUAACUCGGAAAGGUCAACUGAUACUGUGCGGCUAGAGUGCGGGAGGGGCAACUGGAAUUCUUGGUGUAGCGGUGAAAUGCGUAGAUAUCAAGAGGAACACCUGCGGCGAGGGCGGGUUGCUGGGCCGACACUGACGCUGAUGCGCGAAAGCCAGGGGAGCGAACGGG
rnacentral:rRNA from 1 species